CUAAAAAUCUAGCCUAACCUAUCUACCCCUCAAACCCCAACUAAAAUAUUUUAACACCUUAGUAAAGAAGAUUAAAAAACUUUUUAGAGCUAUAAACCCGUACCGCAAGGGAGAGAUGAAAUAAAAAUGAAAUAAGCCUCAAGCACAAAAAAGUAAAGAUUUAAUCUUGUAC
rnacentral:rRNA from 1 species